rnacentral:rRNA from 1 species
GCAGUAGCCGCGGGAAUACAGAGGGUGCGAGCGUUAAUCGGAUUUACUGGGCGUAAAGCGUGCGUAGGCGGCUUCUUAAGUCGGAUGUGAAAUCCCUGAGCUUAACUUAGGAAUUGCAUUCGAUACUGGGAAGCUAGAGUAUGGGAGAGGAUGGUAGAAUUCCAGGUGUAGCGGUGAAAUGCGUAGAGAUCUGGAGGAAUACCGAUGGCGAAGGCAGCCAUCUGGCCUAAUACUGACGCUGAGGUACGAAAGCAUGGGGAGCAAACAGGAUUAGAUACCCGAGUAGUCCCUGUCUCUUAUAA